CUGAACCCCAGUGGUGGCCGUGCAGAGAGAAGCAGUCAGAUCGCAGAGGCAUCCUGAAGGGAGGAUUACAGAGCUGUCUGGUUGGCUGGAAGCCUGUCUUCCCCUUCGUAGGGUCACCUCCACCUCAUUUCCGCUUCAAGCAUCCAGUCCACAGAGGGACAAGAGCUCAAUCUCAGCCCAUCUGGGAUCCCCUGCAGUGGCUGCUGCCAUGUCAUGGGGGGUGGGGAAUCUGGUCCCCUGUACUCCUGUCACCUAUGCUGGCACCCGCAGAGUCUGACCUCAGCACACACAGCAUGUCCUGCUGAAAUGGCACUGGAGGGCAGGCAGACCAAGGAAGAGAGCGGCACUCAGAGAACUGAAGGCUUCACAUCUGUCUGAGCCCGCUUUGGAGGCAAGCAACUACCCCGCUGCUCUGAAAUUGCCAGGUGGUCUCCUCGCCAACAGCCCCCGGACACCCCCCAGCCUCCCCUCCGCCACCUUUGUCUAGGUCAGGCAGCAGCUGGCAGCCAGCUCCUUGCCUUGAUGCUGCCCUCCACAGCCUGGGGGAGCCUGGCUCGACACAGCCCCUCAUCCCUCCAUGUUUUGUAAGGCUCAGCUCUUGGAGCUUAGAGGCUACCACACAGUACUGGAGAUCGAACUCAGGACCUUGCACAUGUGAGGUAGGCAUGCGCCACUGUAGCGCUGCGGGGUGGCCUGCCUCCCCCUGUGGGGAGAUUUGCAUCCUGGUCCCAUUUACGUCAUUCUCGGCCCCGUGAGAAAACAGGCAAGUGACACGCAUCACCUUUAAGCAGAAGCCCAAGGGCAAUCAAGGCUCUGCACGGCCCAGCUCCGGCGACCACAGCAAAGCUCCAGCCCGCCCUUCAGGAAGAUGCAGCGGCCCAAACAGUGCCCCCUCCAGUCAGGGCCGCUGAACCAGAGCUGCGGGGUCUCCGCAGGGCGACCUCGCCUGCACCCCGAGGCAGUGACCUUUGUGUUCUGCCAGGUGGGGGCUGGAGUUUGCAGCACUCGGUUCUGCCACUUAGGGUGCAAACAUGGCAUCGGAACCUCCGCCUGGCCGCGACACGUGGCGUGCGAAGAGGACACAGGGCAGAACGCAGCGGCGAAGGAGGCCGGAUCCACCCAAAAGUGCGGGACUCAGGUAGAGCUGGCACCCCUGAGGGCGUGGUCUUGAGGCCACAGUGAAAUCCUGCUGUCCACACCUGUGGUUCCGCAGCCACCACCAGAGACCCCUGGGCUGAGGCUGAGUUUGCAGCCCCUCUCAUUCCGCGAGACCGCAGUAGAGAAGGAAGUGCAGGGCACACCUCCAGGCACCGCCAUUGGCACUAGAGCGCUCACAGAGGUACUGGCAAGUUCUCUUCUCUGUCCCCCUCAGACACAGCUUUGGCCCUUCUUUUUAUGAAGAACACAAUGAGUAACACACACACACAUGCACACACGAGCACGUGUGUGUGUAGUAGGGGGACUGAACCCAGGGCCUGUGCACUAAGCUGCCUCAGACUCCUAGCGUGUGGGGUUAGAGGUGUGUGGCACCACACCUGGCACAUCUGUCACUCUAAUCUGUCUGAAGUGGUCGACCCGACGGCCCCAGGAAGUCUUGGGCGGCUCCAUCUCCUGGCAGAGGGAGCCCUGUCUUCCGCCUUUACACAGCGAGGACUCGGCAUGGUGGGAGGGCCUGGUGGAGGAGAGCUGCUCACAUCUUGGUGACCAGGAAGCAGAGAAGGGAGCACUGGGACAGCGUCACCACUCUCCUAGGGCUGCCACAGCAGAGGACCGUGAACUCUGUGGCUGAGACUCGGGGAGCAGCCUCUCCCCAGCCUCCUCCUAGCUGCCAGGAAUCCGGGGGCGAGACAGAACCUUCUGGACCCAAGAGAGAGCCUGCCCUGUGCCUCUCCUUAUGGGCACCUGAUGGCUCCUGGCCACAUGUGGCCUCCUUGGCUGGUGGACGCAUUUCCCCUGUCUCUGUCUGUUGUCACAAGGCCUUCUUCCCGUGGACAUUUAUGUGUCUGGGUCCAGAUUUCCCUCUUCUUUUUGGUGUUUUGAGGCAGGUCUCACCAUGUAGGCCAGGCUGGCCUUGAACUCACAGAGAUCCUAUUGGAUUUAGGGCUCAUCCUAAUUCAGAGUGGUCUCAACUCGGUUUCAUCCACAAAGACUUAAUUUCCCAAUAAGGCCACAUUCACAGACCUGGCAGGCCUUCAGCAUGUUUUGAGGGAAGAAAAUUCGUUUCAUGGUAAGUGUCCUCCCAAACCUCCAGAAGCCCCGAGGUGACACUUCACGAGCCUUGUCCUUGUGUUGCCUCCUCUCAGAGUCCUGAGGAAAAGAUGGCAUGCACUGUGGCUGCCAUUUCAGUCGGAAUGAGGUUGUCAUAGAUUUAUUGUAGCUCACAGGUCUGAGGCUUCAGGUCCUAGGGAGAAGCGUAUUAUCCAGGGAGAAGGAGGGAUGUGUAUAGGCCCCCUCCCAGGCCACACCUCAGUGACGCCUCUCCCCAGGGCUCCACCUCCCAGCAUCACACCCAGCUGUGCACCCAUCAGUGGACUCAUGCAGUCCCGCACACCCAGGGUCCAGUUGGCUUCCAGAAGUCCCACCUAGGAGCCCGUGAGGCUCUGGGGGACAGUGUUACAGCUUCUGUCUAGACGUGCCCCAAAGUCUCAUGAGCUCCUAGGUGGGGUUCUUCAGAGGUGGCUGGACGGGGAGAGUGUGUGAGGCGCAAUGCUAGGAUUGAGGGUGUGAGUGCUCUGCCCUAAGGGCAAGUGUCCUAGAUAGAAUGUAAAAGGGACCAGAAGGAAGCUGCUCUUGCGCCCUUGUUGCUCUGCCUUCUGCCUGCUAUGAACUGUUUUUGUUGUUUUUUUGGGUUUUGGGGGGUUUUUUUGGUACCGGGGAUCGAACUCGGGACCUUGUGCUUUCGAGCCAGGCGCCAGAACCACUGAGCUAAAUCCGUGGCCCAUUUGUUGUUAUUUUUUGAGACAGGGUCUCACUAUGUAGUUCAGGCUGCCCUUGAACUCACUAUGUAGCUCAGGCUGUCCUGGAACUCACAGUAAUCCUCCUGCCUCAGCCUCCCUAGUACUGGGAUUACAGGGCUGCACCACCGUGCCCAGCUUGCCAUGAGCUGUUCCUCCUCUGCCAUGCCCCUCUGCCAUGCCACCCAGCCUUGGAGCCAGCCAGGUAUGAACUAAAACCCCUACAGACUGAGGCAAAUAAACCUUUCCUCCUUUAACUUUGGGUGUCAAGUAUUUUGUCUCAGCAACAAGAAAGGUAACUAAGACAGACACCUAGAUAUAAACCAUAACAGGAGAGGAGGUUUAUUGUGGCUCAUGGUUUCAGAGGGUUCAGUAUAUGGUUAGCUGGCUUCAGGCAGAAGCAGCACGGUGGAGGGGUCUGGCAGAGGAGAGCUGCUCACGUCAUGGUGACCAGGAAGUGGAGAGAGAAGGGAGCAGCUGAAGAGGGAGAUGAAUUCUUCCAGGCCAGGCCUCCAGCGAGCGCCCCUUCCACUGGACCUGGCCCCUAACAGUACACUCAGCACUGAACUCCUCAGCUAGCGAGUCACUGUGAGCCCUGCACCCCCUGACCCAGCCACCCUCCCAAAGCUGCACCUCUGAACACGUGAGCCUCCUGGAUCUAAGCCAUAACAGAGAUACACAGCAAAGACCUGGGCAGAUGGGACGAUAGGGCGACCUGUGUGUGUGACAUGGGGUGGACAGGAAGCCAAGUGUGCAUUGUGUGAAGAGAGGCGCUCUGGAGAAAACAGGCCAGGAAAGGGGGUGCUGCUGUGGAGAAGGGGGUCGGGCAGGCUGGAGAGAGGCCCCUGAGGGCCCACGUGACCCAGGACAGUCUCCUCCUAGCAGGGCGGGAGGGAGAGAGCCAGGGCCAGGACAGGCCGGGCACUUCCCCUCCAGAUCCACAGACUGACUGACCUUCAGAAGGCCUGGGGGCUGACCAGUGAGGGAGAGGGGCUGGCGCCGGAGCUGGAGCUGGGUGGCAGAAGUGUCCAGAAGGGCAGCAGGUCUGCUGUUGGAUUAGACAGAGUGGAAGAGAAGGGGCUGGGUGGUCCUUGCCUCCAAUCGCAGCUACUUGGGAGGCUGAGGCAGGAGGAUCACAAGUUUAAGCCCAACAACCCUGUCUCCUAAUAACAAUAACAAUAAUAAUAGACUGGGGAUGUAGCUCAGCACUCCCUGGGCUCAAUCCCCAGCACUGGAAAAGGAAGGAAGAGGGGUGGGCAGGGGAAGGAAGGAAGCGGAAGGAGAGGUGUCAAGGGUGGCACAGGACUUUGGCCCAAGUGCCACCAUGGAGAGUGGCAGUGUCUGCUG
ensembl:lncRNA